AUUGAACGCUGGCGGCAGGCCUAACACAUGCAAGUCGAGCGGACGAAGGGAGCUUGCUCCUGGAUUCAGCGGCGGACGGGUGAGUAAUGCCUAGGAAUCUGCCUGGUAGUGGGGGAUAACGUCCGGAAACGGGCGCUAAUACCGCAUACGUCCUGAGGUCGAAAGUGGGGGAUCUUCGGACCUCACGCUAUCAGAUGAGCCUAGGUCGGAUUAGCUAGUUGGUGGGGUAAAGGCCUACCAAGGCGACGAUCCGUAACUGGUCUGAGAGGAUGACCAGUCACACUGGAACUGAGACACGGUACAGACUCCUACGGGAGGCAGCAGUGGGGAAUAUUGGACGAUGGGCGAAAGCCUGAUCCAGCCAUGCCGCGUGUGUGAAGAAGGUCUUCGGAUUGUAAAGCACUUUAAGUUGGGAGGAAGGACAGUAAGUUAAUACCUUGCUGUUUUGACGUUACCAACAGAAUAAGCACCGGCUAACUUCGUG
rnacentral:rRNA from 1 species